rnacentral:rRNA from 1 species
AUUGAACGCUGGCGGCAUGCCUUACACAUGCAAGUCGAACGGUAACAGGUCUUCGGAUGCUGACGAGUGGAGAACGGGUGAGUAAUACAUCGGAACGUGCCCGAUCGUGGGGGAAAACGGAGCGAAAGCUUUGCUAAUACCGCAUACGAUCUACGGAUGAAAGGAGGGGACCGCAAGGCCUUGCGCAGACGGAGCGGCCGAUGGCAGAUUAGGUAGUUGGUGGGAUAAAAGCUUACCAAGACGACGAUCUGUAGCUGGUCUGAGAGGACGACCAGCCACACUGGGACUGAGACACGGCCCAGACUCCUACGGGAGGCAGCAGUGGGGAAUUUUGGACAAUGGGCGAAAGCCUGAUCCAGCCAUGCCGCGUGCAGGAUGAAGGCCUUCGGGUUGUAAACUGCUUUUGUACGGAACGAAAAGACUCUUUCUAAUAAAGAGGGUCCAUGACGGUACCGUAAGAAUAAGCACCGGCUAACUACGUG